GAAUAGUUCUUAAAACAUAUUCACGGUCAAAUGAUACAUUAUUACAGGAUAAUGAUGUUUAUCGAAUGAAGGUCAUUGUGUGCCAUAUGGGUUGGUUGUCCUUUUAACCAAAGAGUGUGGUAACACUGGUAUGGCAUAUAGGUGAGAUAUAGGAGUACAUCAUCAUUGAACAAGUGACUCACCAACUGACUGUUUGUUAGGAUUUGAUGCCUCAAGAUUCAGCCCAC
rnacentral:lncRNA from 1 species